rnacentral:rRNA from 1 species
AAUCCAUAGGUUAAUGAGGCGAACCGGGGGAACUGAAACAUCUAAGUACCCCGAGGAAAAGAAAUCAACCGAGAUUCCCCCAGUAGCGGCGAGCGAACGGGGAGGAGCCCAGAGCCUGAAUCAGCAUGUGUGUUAGUGGAAGCGUCUGGAAAGGCGCGCGAUACAGGGUGACAGCCCCGUACACAAAAGCGCAUGUGCUGUGAGCUCGAUGAGUAGGGCGGGACACGUGGUAUCCUGUCUGAAUAUGGGGGGACCAUCCUCCAAGGCUAAAUACUCCUGACUGACCGAUAGUGAACCAGUACCGUGAGGGAAAGGCGAAAAGAACCCCGGCGAGGGGAGUGAAAAAGAACCUGAAACCGUGUACGUACAAGCAGUGGGAGCACCCUUUGGGUGUGACUGCGUACCUUUUGUAUAAUGGGUCAGCGACUUAUAUUCUGUAGCAAGGUUAACCGAAUAGGGGAGCCGGAGGGAAACCGAGUCUUAACCGGGCGUUAAGUUGCAGGGUAUAGACCCGAAACCCGGUGAUCUAGCCAUGGGCAGGUUGAAGGUUGGGUAACACUAACUGGAGGACCGAACCGACUAAUGUUGAAAAAUUAGCGGAUGACCUGUGGCUGGGGGUGAAAGGCCAAUCAAACCGGGAGAUAGCUGGUUCUCCCCGAAAGCUAUUUAGGUAGCGCCUCGUGAAUUCAUCUCCGGGGGUAGAGCACUGUUUCGGCUAGGGGGCCAUCCCGGCUUACCAACCCGAUGCAAACUGCGAAUACCGGAGAAUGUUAUCACGGGAGACACACGGCGGGUGCUAACGUCCGUCGUGAAGAGGGAAACAACCCAGACCGCCAGCUAAGGUCCCAAAGUCAUGGUUAAGUGGGAAACGAUGUGGGAAGGCCCAGACAGCCAGGAUGUUGGCUUAGAAGCAGCCAUCAUUUAAAGAAAGCGUAAUAGCUCACUGGUCGAGUCGGCCUGCGCGGAAGAUGUAACGGGGCUAAACCAUGCACCGAAGCUGCGGCAGCGACACUGUGUGUUGUUGGGUAGGGGAGCGUUCUGUAAGCCUGUGAAGGUGUGUCGUGAGGCAUGCUGGAGGUAUCAGAAGUGCGAAUGCUGACAUAAGUAACGAUAAAGCGGGUGAAAAGCC